rnacentral:rRNA from 1 species
CAGCCGCCACGGGAAUACAGAGGGUGCGAGCGUUAAUCGGAUUUACUGGGCGUAAAGCGUGCGUAGGCGGCUUCUUAAGUCGGAUGUGAAAUCCCUGAGCUUAACUUAGGAAUUGCAUUCGAUACUGGGAAGCUAGAGUAUGGGAGAGGAUGGUAGAAUUCCAGGUGUAGCGGUGAAAUGCGUAGAGAUCUGGAGGAAUACCGAUGGCGAAGGCAGCCAUCUGGCCUAAUACUGACGCUGAGGUACGAAAGCAUGGGGAGCGAACAGGAUUAGAUACCCGGGUAGUCCCUGUCUCUUAUAC